CCCCCACAAAAAGAUCACUGCAACCCAUUGUCCCUUCUGCUUCAGUUCCAAGCUAUCAAAUUAGAGAAAUAAAAGAAUAAGAUUAAUAGAGAACUAAUCAGUUCAUCUUCUCCAAGAUUAAAAAAUGGGAGGGCUAGAAAUUAAGGAAAAAAACGAGAGCAAGAAAAAGGGGAAAAACAUAAGGGAUAGGAGUUCAUUGAGCAGCGCCGUAGCAGGGAGUAAUUCACAUCAUAAAAUUGCUUCCUCUCUACCGUGAUUUCAUCACAAACAGCCACUGACCUAAAGACACACGCACAAAGAGAAGUAAGAGGAGGAAUGGCAAAAACAGUAAGUAUUUUAGCUCUGAAAAGCUAUGGAAACAUAGUUGUAACACUGUCCUUUUAGCACCCUUAAAUAGCCCAUUCCUUCAUACCAAAAUUCUAGCCAAACAAUCUCCAACAUACUACUGUUUCAAUCCAAAACUCAUCUAAAAAAAAUAGCGAAAAACAACAUCAAACCCAGCCGGAGUUCAGUUUCGUCCAGGUUUAGUUUGAGUUUCUCGGAGAGCUUCGAGGUCGUCGGUGAUCGUUGUCUAGGGGCUCUUUUUAGUCGUACGUCGAGGUACUGUCUAUUGGUUUCCGGUUCGAGUUUCGUCUGGCGUUUUGAGGCUAAUUCUAAGAAAAAGUCGUGGUUGAUCAUUGAUUUGGUUGCAGGAAAAGGUUUAUAGUGAGUGCCUUGUUAUAGCCUUGUUACUACUUCGUCGAGGUUAGACUCGGUGUGACGACCCUAAAACUGAUCCGGUCAUGAUAGCGCCUAUCGUGGAACCAGUGCAGAACAAACAUACAAGCCCGACAUCGGGGUGUCACAAGUCAUGAGAAACUACAUCUCUGUCUCAAUUCAAUAAAGUCUAAACAAGACUGGAAGACCAUACUAACUAAAGCUAGGGAAGAUAGGAGGGAGAAGAACAGGGCUGCGAACGCCAUGCAGCUGCCUUGUCGACUCCGAAAUCCUGCUGAAUGGACAAUAAAUGCUCACUAUCGUGACCCGCAACUGCUGGAUCUGCACACAUGGUGCAGGGAGUAAUGUGAGUACGCCAACUCAAAAAGUAAUAAAAGUAAAUGAAAGCUGAGCAGAAAGAAAACACAUAAUUUUCCAUCAUAGCACUACAACAAAUACUGUAUAUUUCUCAAAAACAGUACAGAAACCAUUUUCUCGUAAAAUAACUCAGUUUCAAUAAAACUAUUUCCUUUUAAAACA